AUGAUGGCCAUCGCUCUGUCCGCGUCGACUCUCAAGCGGAUCAAUUGGAUUAUUCGGGAUUUCCUUUGGCACGGUCGUCGUGACACCUCCGUUGGCCAUUGCCUAGCCAAUUGGCAUAAGGUUUGUCAUCCCCUGGCCCUGGGCGGGCUUGGCAUCCCUGACCUUCGUCGCUUCAGCAUCGCCCUGUGCACACGUUGGUGCUGGCUGCAGCGUACAGACCCCGCCAGGCCUUGGUGCCACCUUCGGAUCCCCGUCGAUGCGGAUAUUGCUGCCAUCUUCUAUGCUUCGACCACCUGGGCGCUUGCAGAUGGGUGCGAGUAUCGCUUUUGGGUGGAUCAUUGGCUCAACGGCAAGGCCAUUACGAAGGUUGCCCCAACGAUUGCCUCUCUCAUCCCGCGCCGCCGCCACAACGCGUGGACCGUCGCUGAGGGCCUGCAUCUGCGCUCCUGGGUCAGGGACAUGCAGGGUGCCCUCUCUCCCAUCGCCAUGGUGGAGUACAUCGACCUCUGGCGCUUUCUCGGCCAGGUUACCCUAUCCUCAGAGCCGAACAGGCUUGUCUGGCGUUGGACCAUGUCUAGCGUGUAA
rnacentral:rRNA from 1 species